rnacentral:lncRNA from 1 species
CAGUAAACCUGUAGUGGAGCCUGUGGCUGCAGCUAAACCUGUAGUUGAGCCGUGGCGCAGUUAAACCUGUAGUUGAGCCCGUGGCUUCAGUUAAACCUGUAGUUGAGCCCAUGGCUGCAGUUAAACCUCUAGUUGAGCCCUGGCUGCAGUUAAACCUGUAGUUGAGCCGUGGCUGCAGCUAACCUGUAGUUGAGCCCGUGGCUGCAGUUACCCUGAGUUGAGCCCGUGGCUGCAGUUAAACCUGUGGUGGAGCCCGUGGCUGCAGUUAAACCUGUGGUUGAGCCCGUGGCUGCAGUUAAACCUGUGUUGAGCCCGUGGCUGCAGCUAAACCUGUAGUUGAGCCCGUGGCGGCAGCUAAACCUGUAGUUGAGCCCGUGGCUGCAGCUAAACCUGUAGUUGAGCCCGUGGUGCAGCUAAAUGUAGUGAGCCCGUGGCUGCAGCUAAACCUGUAGUUGAGCCCGUGGCUGCAGCUAAACCUGUAGUUGAGCCCGUGGCUGCAGCUAAACCUGUAGUUGAGGGCCCGUGGCUGGCUCCAAACCUGUAGUUGAGCCCGUGGCUGCAGCCAAACCUGUAGUUGAGCCCGUGGCUGCAGCCAAACCUGUAGUUGAGCCCGUGGCUGCAGCCAAACCUGUAGUUGAGCCCGUGGCUGCAGCUAAACCUGUAGUUGAGCCCGUGGCUGCAGCUAAACCUGUAAUUGAGCCCAUGGCUGCAGCUAAACCUGUAGUUGAGCCCGUGGCUGCAGCUAAACCUGUAGUUGAGCCUGUGGCUGCAGUUAAACCUGUAGUUGAGGAGUCAACAUCUGAACCCAUCAUUGAAGCUGAAGCUGAAGCUGUGUCUGAAGCAGCUGUUGAAGUUGUUCAGGAAUUAUCAGCUGCUAUUGAACUUGAGGAGGCAUUAGACGUGGAGCUACCUGCUGCUGAAGUCGUGGCAGAUGAUAUAAUAGCACCUGCAUCAGAACCUACACCAUCCCCUUGUGGGGGUCAGGUUCCAUCACUCACUCAGCAACAGGAGGAUGCUGAACCACAGCAUCAGAUAGUCCAUGACUUUCGUCACACCAAGGAUGGCAAAGCCAUUUGUUCAUACUGUGACAAGUCAAUUGAUGGAAAUGUCAAGAUCACAAUCAAUUACCCACAAAUCUACAGCCACCCAGACUGUUUUAAGUGCGGAUUGUGCAGUAAGGCCUUGGGGGACAUGACGACCUCCAUGUUUGUGCAUGGGAGAGUGAUCCACUGUGAUGGCUGCUUUAUUAAAACCAUGUAG